GUCCAAAUUUGCAGACCCAUAAUAGUCACGAGUAUCCUAAAAUCCUUGCCACUAAAAUCGCUAUAAUUUUUAAACGAACCGGCCAAUCUUCUCUCUACGGCUAAAGCUUAUACAUAAAAGGUUAGUGGAAAUAUCUGUUUUGGUAAGAGUGCUUAAUUAAAUUAAUAUUGCUCGCUUGUAAAAGGCCGUUGAAGGAGCGAGGAGUGGAGCGGUCUGAGCCGGCUCUAUUAAGGUUGGGAAACCUUCACAAGACUGUACAUUGUUUUGUGUAUAAAACGACUUUAUAUGUCCAAAGAAUAAAACUUUUGCUUAUUGUUGAAUCCUUAAUUUCCUUAAGCAAAGUUCUCUCGUAAUAAAAAUAACAAGUCUUGAUGUGUGAUGGUGUCUGCACUAUUACGAGCCAUCCAUUAUAUAUACAUACUGUGCCCUGACUAGUAUCAUAAUUAACCGAUUGUUGAUUUAUUGUUCUAACUGAAAAUUUCAUUUCAAAUUCACAGGUUCAAC